UGUUGGGAUAACGUAUGGAGAACCUUUGUGAAUGUUUGCCUGGAAGAAAAAAAAACGUGCUCAAAGAUUCUGUGAAGCACUUUUUAAAACAUGCUCAGUUUUUUUGUUCUGUCACGUUUUAUUAUUUUUUACCGUCUUGGAUUUGAAUCGCAUAAAUUUACAUUAAAUCAAUAUGAUUGAGGCUGUACCAGGUGAGAGCCACAGCUUUCACAGUAUAGUUUUCACAUAAUUUGAUGGGGUUAUAUUUAAGAACAACAUCACCUCUCUAUCUGGCAGUGCUGAGAUUUUCACUGCUCAUUUUCAGAGAGAGAGCUCCACUUUCAGUCGGGAGCACGUUUUAUUGUGACAUGCACAGAGGAGGAAGUAAUGAUGGGGAGGCCUCUGGAGAGCCAUGCGGAGCCGGAGUCAGACCGAGGCUUGCAGCUCCACGUCCCCCGCACUGUCUCAGCAGAAGGGAAGAGAGAGUAAAGAGGACACGUGAAGAUUUGUUAGAGUAAAUGUGAUGAUUACUGAUGAUUUAAGAUCUUA